rnacentral:rRNA from 1 species
GACGAACGCUGGCGGCGUGCUUAACACAUGCAAGUCGAGCGGUAAGGCCCUUUCGGGGGUACACGGGCGGCGAACGGGUGAGUAACACGUGGGUGACCUGCCCUCAGCUCUGGGAUAAGCCUGGGAAACUGGGUCUAAUACUGGAUAUGACUCCACGGUGCAUGUCGUGGGGUGGAAAGCCUUGUGCGGCUGAGGAUGGGCCCGCGGCCUAUCAGCUUGUUGGUGGGGUGAUGGCCUACCAAGGCGACGACGGGUAGCCGGCCUGAGAGGGCGACCGGCCACACUGGGACUGAGACACGGCCCAGACUCCUACGGGAGGCAGCAGUGGGGAAUCUUGCGCAAUGGGCGAAAGCCUGACGCAGCGACGCCGCGUGA